rnacentral:rRNA from 1 species
UACAGAGGUCUCGAGCGUUGUUCGGAUUCAUUGGGCGUAAAGGGCGCGUAGGCGGCGGGGUAAGUCUGGUGUGAAAUCUCGGAGCUCAACUCCGAAAUUGCACUGGAUACUGCUCUGCUAGAGGGCUGGAGAGGAGAUCGGAAUUCACGGUGUAGCAGUGAAAUGCGUAGAUAUCGUGAGGAAGACCAGUGGCGAAGGCGGAUCUCUGGACAGCUCCUGACGCUGAGGCGCGAAGGCUGGGGGAGCAAACGGG